rnacentral:rRNA from 1 species
UGGGGAAUAUUGCACAAUGGGCGCAAGCCUGAUGCAGCCAUGCCGCGUGUAUGAAGAAGGCCUUCGGGUUGUAAAGUACUUUCAGCGGGGAGGAAGGGAGUAAAGUUAAUACCUUUGCUCAUUGACGUUACCCGCAGAAGAAGCACCGGCUAACUCCGUGCCAGCAGCCGCGGUAAUACGGAGGGUGCAAGCGUUAAUCGGAAUUACUGGGCGUAAAGCGCACGCAGGCGGUUUGUUAAGUCAGAUGUGAAAUCCCCGGGCUCAACCUGGGAACUGCAUCUGAUACUGGCAAGCUUGAGUCUCGUAGAGGGGGGUAGAAUUCCAGGUGUAGCGAUGAAAUGCGUAGAGAUCUGGAGGAAUACCGGUGGCGAAGGAGGCCCCCUGGACGAAGACUGACGCUCAGGUGCGAAAGCGUGGGGAGCAAACAGG